rnacentral:rRNA from 1 species
GCAUUGGGGGCGGCUAAUACAUGCAGUCGAGCGAACAGAUAAGGAGCUUGCUCCUUUGACGUUAGCGGCGGACGGGUGAGUAACACGUGGGUAACCUACCUAUAAGACUGGAAUAACUCCGGGAAACCGGGGCUAAUGCCGGAUAACAUUUAGAACCGCAUGGUUCUAAAGUGAAAGAUGGUUUUGCUAUCACUUAUAGAUGGACCCGCGCCGUAUUAGCUAGUUGGUAAGGUAAUGGCUUACCAAGGCAACGAUACGUAGCCGACCUGAGAGGGUGAUCGGCCACACUGGAACUGAGACACGGUCCAGACUCCUACGGGAGGCAGCAGUAGGGAAUCUUCCGCAAUGGGCGAAAGCCUGACGGAGCAACGCCGCGUGAGUGAUGAAGGGUUUCGGCUCGUAAAACUCUGUUAUUAGGGAAGAACAAACGUGUAAGUAACUGUGCACGUCUUGACGGUACCUAAUCAGAAAGCCACGGCUAACUACGUGCCAGCAGCCGCGGUAAUACGUAGGUGGCAAGCGUUAUCCGGAAUUAUUGGGCGUAAAGCGCGCGUAGGCGGUUUCUUAAGUCUGAUGUGAAAGCCCACGGCUCAACCGUGGAGGGUCAUUGGAAACUGGGAGACUUGAGUGCAGAAGAGGAAAGUGGAAUUCCAUGUGUAGCGGUGAAAUGCGCAGAGAUAUGGAGGAACACCAGUGGCGAAGGCGACUUUCUGGUCUGUAACUGACGCUGAUGUGCGAAAGCGUGGGGAUCAAACAGGAUUAGAUACCCUGGUAGUCCACGCCGUAAACGAUGAGUGCUA